rnacentral:lncRNA from 1 species
UUGCCGUUUCGUUUUUUAUAUUGCAACUGAUAAAAGAAGUAUUUACACAAAAAAGCAAUCGAAAGACUGGUGGCUGACAGUUCGCUGCUCGUAAUAAUAUUUGAGUAAAUGUUCUGCUUGAAAGAGAGAGAGAGAGGGGGGGGGAGAGAGGGGAGGGAGAGACUUGGAAGCUUACAAUCUGGUUGUAUCAAGUGCAAUAGAUUAAACAAUAUCUCCGAACUUUGGAUUUUAUUCAGGGAUCUGUAUCUACUCUCAUAUCUUGUUCUGGAUACUUGAAAUACUCAAAUCAAUAUUGGUUUUGAUUGUAGAAGAACAGCGAACACAUGACAUUUUCAUGGCAUCUUCUAUAACUGACAGUAUCAGCAUCGUAAGUAAUGUUAACGGUAACAUAACAGAUAUCAAUAUAAUUGUAGACAUAAUAUAGUCAUAAUGUAAUAGACACGAGAUAUUUUAUCGAAUUUUCUACAUGUUUGCACAAACGACAUUUAUCGCACAAGACAUAUAUAGAUGCAUUUAAUACAUUUGUGACUGUUUUCUCCUUUGCUUUCUUGGACUAAUUUAACUCGCCAACGCAGCCUUGGAUCUAAAUUAUUAUUGCGUGUGUCAUCACACACCAUUAAUUUUUAUUGACGAUUCAACAUCGCAGACACUCUAGACAGAUGCUUGUAAAAGUGCAACACUGAAAAGAAUGCUCAAAUAUCUUCAAAUUGUUAAAAAAAUAAAAAAAAUAAUUAU